UACAGAGGGGCAAGCGUUAUUCGGAAUUAUUGGCGUAAAGGGCGCGUAGGCGGCUUUGCAAGUGGCGGGUGAAAUCCCUCCGGCUUAACCGAGGAAGCUGCCUGCCAGACUGUGAGGCUUGAGACCGGGAGAGGUGAGUGGAAUUCCCAGUGUAGCGGUAGAAAUGCGUAGAUAUUGGGAGGAACACCAGUGGCGAAGGCGGCUCACUGGACCGGAACUGACGCUGAGGCGCGAAAGCGUGGGGAGCAAACAGGG
rnacentral:rRNA from 1 species